AACUUCUGAAUGUUGACCUCGA
rnacentral:rRNA from 1 species